GACGAACGCUGGCGGCGUGCCUAAUACAUGCAAGUAGGACGCAGUUGCGAACGGGUGAGUAACGCGUAGGUAACUACCUAUUAGAGGGGGAUAACUAUUGGAAACGAUAGCUAAUACCGCAUACUAGUAGAUGGACCUGCGUUGUAUUAGCUAGUAGGUAGGGGAAUGGCCUACCUAGGCAACGAUACAUAGCCGACCUGGUGGGGUGAUAGGCCAAACCGGGACUGGGACACGGGCCAGACUCCUACGGGAGGGAGCAGGAGGGAAACUUCGGCAAUUGGGGGAACCCUGACCGAGCAACGCCGCGUGAGUGAAGAAGGUUUUCGGAUCGUAAAGCUCUGGUGUUAAGGAAGCGGUACUUAACCAGAAAGGGACGGCUAACUACGUGCCAGCCGCCGCGGUAAUAC
rnacentral:rRNA from 1 species